UUACACAUGAAUAACAGAAUGCAGAAUUCUGUGGCAGGGUUCCUUGCAGAAAGCAGGCAUUCCCCCUCUCCAAGCUCACAGCCUAAGAGCAGCCGGUUUCUGCUGCAGGGGUUGACACAGGAUGUUUGGAUUUGGGAUGCAGAUGAUCCCGGAUGCUGCAGGAUUCCAUUUCAAGCUGUCACAGCAGCCACGUGGGGAUGAAAUAUCUCCGCUUUGGAGAUUCCUCCUCCCAGCUGGGGUAAAGCAGCCUGGAUUCCUCCAAGGCUGUGAAGCUGGGCUCACAUGGAGGAGAACAUGGAUCACUUCUGCAGCUGAGGCUGUGGAGAGCACAGGACGGAGAGGACCUGGAUGUCCCACAGGGAGGAUGGAGCGGCCUUGGGGCCCGUCAGGAGAAGCAGAGCGAGGUGAUGUCAUGCAGGGUAGUGUGCUUGCAUCUUUUAUCUGCCAACAACAUCUCUUUAAUCCCUAUGAAUAAAACUUGGCCCAUUUGCUGCACUCUGGUCCGUGUGAAUGGCCACAGGAACAGGAAGAAGCUGAUUGCAGGAUGGCUGCAGGCACAGGAGGAUGUUGCUAGGGCAGUGCUGGGAGAUGGAUUUAGCAGACAGGGAGGUUCUGCUAAAGCCUCCCUUUGAGGCUUUGGCUACAACUUGUCCAGCAAACAGCUUGUGGAGAACAGCUGGAAGAGGUGUGGAGGAGCACAGGGGGAUGCUGGAAUUGGAAAGCCGAUUGUGGGUACAGUCUGAGAACCCAUCAGUGAUGCCAUGGGAGCAGUGCCCUGGUGUAAGGGCACCCUGGGGCAGGCUGGAGGCUGGCAGGGAGGAGCUGAUUGCAUUUUGCUGGUUUUCCUUUGCCAGCCUGGCUGACAUCCGUGCCCACACCUGUCUGCCCGCACCGACAUCUCCUCCAGCCAUCUCCGCUGGCUCCAACCUCUCUCCAAACCUGGAAUCUCCCUGCUCCCUCCCUUCCCAGCUUGCCACACAGGAGCAUCAUUAGGGCUGCCUGGGCAAGGGAAUUAUCCUGCUGGUUUUUGUGGAGUUGGGGUAAUGCUGGAGUAAUUAAUUCGUGUAACUCAGUGCUCCCAGUGCCAGGAGUAAUGCUGGAGCAUCCCUGCACUGGUGGGGUUGCUCUCUGCAGGAGGUUCAGGACUGCUCACCCUUUGCCUCUGGGGUGAGAAGUGCACUCUCAGCAGCGCUUGGCAAUUCCCUCUGCCCCGUGGGCUUUCCCACAAAGUGGGAAAUUGUGAUUCCCACAAUUGUCAUUCCCACAAUUGCGAUUCCUGUUGCUUCCGAGUGCUUGGGGGGAGGGUCUAAUUUUUGCAACAUGCAGGCACCAGAUAUUGUGUUCAGCUCAAAGGUGGUAAUGUAAAUCUCUUUUUUUGCACUGGGGUUAUUACCUUAAUCAAAUAUUCAUUUACAGCACACGUUGGCAAAUUCAGGCUUGACAUAAAGCAAUUCACUCCUGGUGUGUAGUGUUUAAUGGGAUUAUUCUUCUAAGUAACUGAGCCUCCUUUGCCCACAUUGUUGUGGCUGCCCCUGGAUCCCUGGAAGUGCCCAAGGCAAGGCUGGACAAGGCUUGGAGCAAGUUGGGAUAGUGAAACCUGUGGAUAGUGGGGUGAUUUUUAAGGUUUCUUCCAACCCAGACCGUGCUGUGAUUCCAUGAUCCAGUCUGAGAUGGGAGGAUCAGGAUGUAGCUGGGUCUGUGUGGCCAUGGACACAUCCAGACAGAGAACUUCAGGCACUGGGAGAGGCAGAAGCAGCAGGAGCCUUUUUUCUUAGGAAAACGUUCACUAGCAGCUUCUGGAAGCAAGUGGGGGAUUGCUCCAGGAUACACAGUUAAAGGAUGCACUGCUCCAAAUCACAGAUUAUUCCUCUGUUCAAGGCAGGGCAUGGGGGAAAAACCCCAAUAAUUGCAAUCUGCCCUGGAUGGAUAAAGUGCCUGUACAGUCAUCAGGUCAUGAGUUUUAGGAGGCCUUAUGUUUAUCCCUUCAGGUCCUAACCCAGGAGAGCAGAAGGAAACCUGCUGGCAAUGGCAGUGUCUGGGUUCUGUGCUUGGGGUGACACAGCUGCACAGAUGUGGUCAGCCUGCAUGCCAAGGCACAGGGAUGAGGGGAAAGCUGCAUUUCCUGAGCUCUCCCUAGCCUGUGCUUGCUCUUAAGCCCAUCUCCUGACCAUGCAUCCCUUCCUCCUUGCCACAGGAUCAUGGGGAGAUAACAUUUCCCUGCAGGGAAGCUGACUGAUGUCCCCAUGUGUUGCUGACUGAGCUGGGUGGUUUGUGGCUUCCCCAUGCUCAGGAAUUUUGGUCUCACCCCAGUUCAUGUGCCAAAGAUGCUCUCCAUGGCCUCAUCUUCAUCUUCUCCCUCUCCCUGGCACUGUGAGCAACAGAGAGCACAUCCCUUGGAUAAUCUGGUGCUCUCUCAGCGACGGGUCCAGCAUGUGGAACAGCACCAGGAUAAUCUGGAUGAGUCCCCAAGGACACAGAGGGACAGAGCUGCUGUUGGCAGCCAGGCACCUCUUCCCACACUGCUCCUGUGCCACGUGGACACUGCUUCUCCAAUUUCCCAGCUGAAGGGGAAGUGCCACAGCAGUGCUGCAUGCAGAGGAGCAGCCUUGUGACCAUGACACAUCCCAUUAGUCAGCUCGCAGGGAGGGCAGGAGAGGUUUGCAGGAGGAUUUCAGCUCCAUGGGAGCUGGACAGUGGUGGAGAGCAGGGAUUAGGUCAUGGAGACACGAUCCCACUCUGGCUGCACUUAUUCUCCACGGUGCUGACUAAUGUGUGGUAAAGGAUCCAGCAGGAAUCCUGGCCCCAGUGUGUGCUUUUCCAUGGCCUCCCAGGCUGGUGGGCACCACCACAAAGCACCACAGUGUUCCAGGGACUUGGCAGUGAAUUCUCACCCUUGGUCUCCAGGAACUUGGCAGUGAAUUCUCACCCUUGGUCUCCUCGCUGGACACUUUGGCCCAUAUCCCUUCCUGAGGUUCCUCACCCUGCUGCCAGGGGCAUUUCUGAGAGUUGUAGGUUGCACCCCCUGUGUCAUUCCCACCAGGUGAAGGUGGUUCCUUUGUGCCUUUCCUUUUCCCUCAUUUUCUUCAGUGACUGCUCAGAGCUGAGGUUUUGAGGGUGGUGGAGGAGAGGAGGCAGCAGCAGAGUGCAAACUGAUUUGUGCUGUCCCACUUCUCUUGCCCAAGAGCAUUCCUGUAGGGAACUGCUCCACAGAGGAGUCUGCAGGACUGGUGCCUUGUGGGAUGGGAGGGAAUUGUCUGACCGUGUAUAGGGAAGCAAUAUAACAGGGAAUAAAGCAGGGAACAAGGCUGAUUCCAGGUCCAGAUGAAUGGUGAAAUUACGGAAUGCAAGACACAAGGCCAUGGAAAAUGUUCAUCCUGAGCCCCAGCAGCUGAGCUGCUGUCUUAGGGUGGAAGAUGUGGCUGGGGGUGUGUGUUCUAUUGCCAUCUGUUAGAGGUGGGGCAGUUUUCUCUUCUCUUCUCUUCUCUUCUCUUCUCUUCUCUUCUCUUCUCUUCUCUUCUCUUCUCUUCUCUUCAUUGGGCAGUUUUCUUUAUCUCUCCCACAAACCAGUCCUCCCUCGGGGAAAGAUCUUGUGUUCAUGGGCCAUUGAGUGUCACUGCUUGACUGUUAGAAUUCCAUCAUCCCAUUGGGAGAAGCUGCGCCCAGGGGGAGGAGCCAAGCAUUCCUUCCUGGAUAUAAUCUGACAGUUGGAACACCACAGCACCUUUCCCACUGGAUUCCCAGAGGAGUGGCCCUUUCCCACUGGAUUCCCAGAGAAAGAUCAGACCAAUCUACACCACCACUGGAUCUUUAGAGGAAAACUCCACCCUUUACAGGAUCACUGCUCCAGCAGAACCACACCUGUCUCUGCAGGAGGACUGCAGCCACCCUUUAAUGGGACUGCUACCAGCAACCUGACACACGGGGAGUCAGGCCAUAUUCUCACUCUGUCACUGUUGUUUUGUAUUACUGCUUUGGUUUGGGUUUUUUUUUUUCCUUUCCUAAUAAAGAACUGCUAUCCCUGCUCACAUAUCUUUGCCUGAGAGCCCCUUAAUUUCAAACCUAUAACAGUUCGGAGGCAGGGGGUUCACAUUUUCCAUUUCAGGGGAGGCUCCUGCCUUCCUUAGCAGACACCUCUCUUUUCAAACCAAGGCAGCUGCCAAGCAGGAAAAGCCCAUGCCAGGCUCUCACAGCUCUCCCUUGCUCUGCCUGUUGGGAUUGCUGCCUCCAGCCUUUGGCUUCCAGCUGGGAUGUUCUCCCCAGUAGACCUGACGUCUCUGCUGUGAGUUUAUCCAGCUGUUAUCAGCAGAUGCCCUUCCUUGGUGACUCAUGCCCUGCUCCCUGACCACAUCCCCUUCUCCCAUUGCCCCCACCCACUACAACUGAGUCACUUGGCCUCCUGCCACAAGCCAGGAGCUCUCCCUCCAGACAUGGAGACACUUCUGGCCCACCCUGAUGUAAGUGAGGCUCCUCCUGAGUUGCUUUUCCCAGGCAGGCUCUGGAGUGGGAAUUUGCUGCCUCAUUACCAGGCUGGCCCUGGCCUGCACACUGCCCAGACUACACUCUUUUUGUCCCUUAGUGCAUUCUCCACAGGGACCAGUCCAGCCCUGUGGUACUGGGAGUCACCCAACAGCCCAGCACUCCAGCCUUGGCUGGUUUGUGUUUCAGGUGGGACUUGUGAAGGUGGGAGCUGUGAAAACUCAGUGCUGAAAAACCUUUCCUACCUUCUGACCAUCCUGGAGCUGCAGGAAGACACUUUCUGAUGUUAUCCCAUAAAAGCAGCAUUUUCAGCUGCUAAAGGAGGGAAUUUUAGCAUGAGAGGAACAUUGAAAAUCAAGGGGUCUAUUUCUUUGCACCCAAUUUAGGGCUAUCCCUGUGCAUCUCUACCCCAUUAAAAGUUGGUGAAAUUUCAUCUUCCCAGUCUCUUUUUGAAGCCCUGUGGUGGAACUUCCUGGCAUGGGAUGGCCACACUGAAUACAAACAUCACCCUCUCUGCACAGCAAUAAAACAAAGCAAGGUUAUUUCUCACGUGGCUGUGUCUGAUCUGGAGAAAGAGGAGCUGCCAAAAUCCACCCCCCAACCCUUUCCUUGGAGCAGGAGCCUGGUGUGUGUGCAAUCCUGGGCUGGCAGGAGCUGGAUCAGACCUUGCUUUAGUCAUCCUGAGUGAGCAGGCACAGCCCCUGCCUCUGCUGAGGUCAGGCCCGGUGAAGGGGGAAGAUGGAUAUCAGCUCUGCAGCCUGGAAUGUGAUAACAUCCCUGCACACCCACCCAGAUCCUGCAGGCAAGCCUGGGAGCCCCGGGCUCUUUCUUGUCCAGACAGGAUUGUUGUUCCUCCCGAGGUGGGCUGGCUCCUGCCCCUGUCCCCUCCCUCAGGGAUACAGAGCUUCCUGCAGGAAAGCUCUGCCAGGGCACAGAGAUGGAGCUCAGUUGCCCAAGCAGCCUCCCCAGUGGCUCAUCUUGUUCUGGGAGCCCCAGUUAGGAGCACUGGACUUGCAUGGAUGCCUUGUGCUGUCCCUGAUUGAUGCCAGAAGGAAAUCUUCCUGAUGGAAGCACCUUUCCAUUGGGAAAGAGAGUUUCCAUCUGUCUUUCCCACAUCUGCCUCAUCUGGUUGGUGCUGACAUGCUCCCUUCCCUACCUCCCUCUUCCUCCUCCUUCUCCAUGAUUUUCUAGUCCAUCCAUAGCUCCAUCUCCCUCUGCUUGGAUCUCCCAUUUCACCUUUCCAACGCCCUGCUGCAUCCCAGAGGAUUGAGCUCCUUUCCUGGCUGUCGCCGACAUCUUUUAUGAAAAAUCUUUUCCUCAAGAUUUUUCUUCUUGAGAAGCUGAGAGGCCUCAGA